UACGUAGGGUGCGAGCGUUGUCCGGAAUUAUUGGGCGUAAAGAGCUCGUAGGCGGUCUGUCGCGUCGGUCGUGAAAACUUGGGGCUUAACCCUGAGCUUGCGGUCGAUACGGGCAUGACUGGAGUUCGGUAGGGGAGACUGGAAUUCCUGGUGUAGCGGUGAAAUGCGCAGAUAUCGGGAGGAACACCCGUAGCGAAGGCGGCACUCUGGGCCGUGACUGACGCUGAGGAGCGAAAGCGUGGGUAGCAAACAGG
rnacentral:rRNA from 1 species